rnacentral:misc_RNA from 1 species
AAUAUAAUAACAAUUUUAUUUUAAGUUCUCCCUAAUUGAAUAGGCUACUUGCUGAAGAUAAACUGUUUUUGAUAGGAUUAAUCUGUUUUAACACACUUACUAUAACAAAUAGCUAAGUUUAGUUUGAUGUGUGUUUAACCUUAUCAUCAUACAACUAUAAAUAUUAUUAUUUGCACAACAAUACACAUCAGUUAAAGGUGUACAAGUCACUUUCUUCAGUUUUGUGAUAUGCAUUUUGUUUGAUUUAUGAAGAUAAUUGAGUUGAUGACUUGAUGUGGUCUUCCUUGCAAUUA